rnacentral:ncRNA from 1 species
CCCGUCGCUACUACCGAUUGAAUUAUUUAGUGAGGUCUCCGGACGUGAUCACUGUAACGCAUUUUAUGUGUUGCGGAUGUUUCGCAAAAGUUGACCGAACUUGAUUAUUUAGAGGAAGUAAAAGUCGUAA